UACGUAGGGUGCGAGCGUUGCCCGGAUUUAUUGGGCGUAAAGGGCGCGUAGGCGGCUCGGCACGUCCGUUGUGAAAUCGCCCGGCUCAACUGGGCGGGGUCAGCGGAUACGGUCGAGCUUGAGCAAGCUAGGGGGCAAUGGAAUUCCCGGUGUAGUGGUGGAAUGCGUAGAUAUCGGGAGGAACACCAGUGGCGAAGGCGGUUGCCUGGAGCUUUUGCUGACGCUGAGGCGCGAAAGCGUGGGGGAGCGAUCCGG
rnacentral:rRNA from 1 species